GUAUUUCAGUUUGAGAAUUUUUAGAUAUUUCUAUUAGAAAACAUGACAAAAAAAACUAGGUAAGACAAUAAUUUUUUGCCAUGUGAGGGAGAAGAACCAAGCACUGAGGGAACGUAGUGAAUGUACAGCUUCGGAUGACAGCGGCUCACGUUUGGCGUUGUUUGACAACACUUGGAGGGAGGAUAAAAAGCUCCAGGAACAAUUUCUUUAGAGUAUCUUCUUUAAUCACCUUUCCAUUAAUACAACCUGGACUGGUCUAGGGAAUCAAGCAUGUUUUGGAGACCUGUUUCUGAGACCAUUGUUCAAAGAGCCAUCCGAAAGAACCCGGCAACCCAGGAUGCCACUGAUGGGGCUGUCCAGGUUAAUGUUACGUGUUACCUGAAAGGAGCAUCUGACCGUGAAUGCGGAAAAAGGCAGCACACAGCUGAGAGGGACCCGCAGCUGACGCCUUAAACCGAGGCUGACUACUUUCUUUAUCCUGCAGUCAGUAACAUCAAGAACCCUAAAGAAACCUGAAGUGUCACACACUCAACCAAUCCACACUUCACUGUGAAAAUUACUUUUAUUUUUUUCCCAAAUUCCCUGUGACCCUGCCUUGAUGGCAGCUCCUCGGAUAGAUACAGAAUGGCGACGUUGUUUGUCCUUUAUACGGGUGCACGAGAUAAAGUACUGAUCAUAAGCGCCUCAUACUUAUACAUUACAUUCAUGUGGAUCUUCGUUUUAAUAUCUUCAAUGUAUUUUACUGUUUUUUUUUGUCAUGUGGAUUUGUUUUUAUCAGUCUGUUUAUGUUGAUGUGUGUGGUUAUAAGCUACUGGGACCUUGAAUUUCCCAUUGAGGAUCAAUAAAGUAUCUGUUUAUUUUUCAUUUACAAGAGACAGAUCUUAUUGCAGCAAAGUGAAAAUAUUGUGUCCCAGGUCAGCAAUGCCAUUAUAAUAGUCUAUUCUAGUCCAGAGCUUUACUCUAAAUUAUUAACACUUAUCCUAAUGUUAAAAAUGACGAUUUAUUUGGUAUGCUGCACAUUCUUUGGUACCAAAUAUCCUCAUUACUUAAUUUUAUGUUUACUGGUAGCCAAAUUCUUUUCAUCCCAGAGCUGACCUCUAAAUUAUUAACAAUUGUUGUAAAUGAAAUGUUCUAAUUUGCUUGUAAUGUUUUUUUUAAACUAGAAUUUAUUUGGAAACCUGCAUGUUUUUUAGUACUUUUUUAUUUUUCAGUUAUUUAUAUUUCAGUGCUCUUACACAUCUUGGUUCAAUGACUGUUACUGUACUUUGAAAUGUGGAAUAAAAAA